rnacentral:lncRNA from 1 species
GAAGCUUUUCAAUGUGAAUGAAAAAAUGUGAAUGCAAAUUUGAACAUGAUAUAUAGAAAUAUGAGAUGGAAUAUAGAUGGAAUCUCCUUGAAUUAAGAUUGAAAGGGAAAAUGACGUAAUUGAAAUAUGAAUGAUUAUGUAGAAUUCCUUCAAUAUUAAUGGAUUUCCUUUUUUUUUUUAAGGUGAAUGAAGCAAAUAUGAAUGUAAAUUUGGG